rnacentral:tRNA from 1 species
GGUAAAGUGGCCGAACAUUUAGGUGAUAGACUGUAAAUUUAUUCAUGAAAUAAUAAUUUCCUUUACCA